rnacentral:rRNA from 1 species
AAAAACAGAUAAGGGCAGACGGUGGAUGCCUUGGCUCUCGGAGGCGAAGAAGGACGUGAUAAGCUGCGAUAAGCUACGGGGAUUGGCACAUACAAAUUGAUCCGUAGAUUUCCGAAUGGGGCAACCCGGUACAUUGAAGAUGUAUCACACUGCAGAGCAGUGAGCGAACGUGGGGAACUGAAACAUCUAAGUACCCAUAGGAGAAGAAAACAAAAGUGAUUCCCUUAGUAGUGGCGAGCGAACGGGGACCAGCCCAAACCAGUUUUGUUUCGGCAAAACUGGGGUUGUAGGACCUCGACAUAGGAAGACAAGAUUAGGAGAACGGUCUGGAAAGGCCGGCCAUAGAACAUGACAGCUGUGUAUCCGAAAAUUUUAGUUGGACUUAGGAGUAUCCUGAGUAGCGCGGGACACGUGAAAUCCUGUGUGAAUCUGCGGGGCCCAUCCCGUAAGGCUAAAUACUCCCGAGAGACCGAUAGUGAACCAGUACCG